GAUGAACGCUAGCGGCAGGCUUAAUACAUGCAAGUCGAGGGACAGCACAGGUAGCAAUACUGGGUGGUAACCGGCAAACGGGUGCGGAACACGUACACAACCUUCCUUUGAGUGGGGGAUAGCCCAGAGAAACUUGGAUUAAUACCCCGUAAUAUAGUUGAAUGGCAUCAUUUGAUUAUUAUAGCUACGGCGCUUAAUGAUGGGUGUGCGGCUGAUUAGAUAGUUGGCGGGGUAACGGCCCACCAAGUCUACGAUCAGUAGCUGAUGUGAGAGCAUGAUCAGCCACACGGGCACUGAGACACGGGACCGACUCCUACGGGAGGCAGCAGUAAGGAAUAUUGGUCAAUGGACGCAAGUCUGAACCAGCCAUGCCGCGUGAAGGAUUAAGGUCCUCUGGAUUGUAAACUUCUUUUAUUUGGGACGAAAAAGGGUCUUUCUAGGUCAACUGACGGUACCAGAUGAAUAAGCACCGGCUAACUCCGUGCCAGCCGCCGCGGUAA
rnacentral:rRNA from 1 species